UCGGUGUGCUGUUUUAUCCCUUCCCUGUGCUUAACCCAUAUAGGAAAUGCUUAAUGCUGGCUUAUUGCAGAGCUCACCCCGUGCUGCAGCGUGCGAGUAGAGGAGGGCGACUGUGCACAACUGCUCUCUAUGGGAUUCUCCUUUCCUUCCCCUCUUUCACAUUUUUUUUUUUCCUUUCUUUUCUCCUUUUUCCCCUAUUUAUUUAUUCAUUUCUGGUUGGUGCUGGUGUUUUCAAGCCCCCCUUCAUAUCUCAGGGUGGCUCUAUCUCAGGGCGUUGGGGCUGUGCUGUACUCCACAGCCCGAGUUGCUGUACUAGGAGGAGCUGCAUUGCAUUUCAUGCAUUCGUGCACGUUCUGCUCCUCCCAUUAUAUGGGGAAUUCACUCCACAGGUGCUGCAUGGAGCAAAUCCCCCAAUUCCAGUCCUGCAGUGCAAAUUUUGGGGGUAGGAAUAUUCUCCAUAUUUAAGGCUGCUGGUGCAGCAAACGGCGUCUUGGUGGAGCUCUGUGUUUUCCCUUAAUUGUGUGUCCACCCAACCUAUUGUCACUGAAGUCCCAAACCCUUCUCAGCUCUCUGUGUUGCUUUCCAGCUCCCGUGUGGUUGGAGGCACUGGCAGGAGGAGCUGUAGCCCACGGCCAGGUGAGGGCAGCUGCUUGAAGAGAUGGAAGCAGUGAUCCUCCCCAGGUGCAGCCCUUCGCAGUGCUCUUGCAGAAGCAGAGCUGAAGCACUGCGGGGCUGCUCUGCUGCACCCCGGCUGGGUUUCCCUUCGGCUGUUGGCUCUUUACAGCACAGCAGUUGCACUUUGCAGAGCUGGAGCUGCUGCCAUCAGCACAGAGGACAUUGAAGUGAUGGAGAAAAUACUUUUUUUUUUUUUCUCUUUUUGCAAAUAUUGAAUUGGCUGUUUCCAAUAGGCUGGCACGGGCUGGGAGGGCUCUUGAAAUCCCGUUCUUCAGUUUGCUAAAGGGGCAGAGCAGCACAGGGGCUGAGCUCCCUGUGGGACAGGCCUGGCUGCUGCCGUCGUUCUGCGCUGCUGUGACGUUGCUUUUUGGGAAAAUGAAUUGAAGGAAGUUGUCACAUAACUGGGGGAAAAAAAGUCAAGAGGAAACAAAGAAGUGCGGGCUGUCUGCACAGGUCUGGGCGCUCUGUGCUGCAGCCUCAGCCUCUGCUCUGCACAGGGAAUGAUGGAGGGUCAGAGUACCUUUAUUUUCUGGUUGCAGAUGGUUUGUCCAUUCUAAAGGUACAUGAGCAUCAUGUCAGCUUUAGGAAAAAAAAGCUUCUCCCCCUUUCCUUUCCUUCCUUCUUUCCCCCUUUCUUUCUUUUUCCCUUCCUUCCCUUCAGCAGUUUAAGGACACAAGAGGUUUGCCCUGCUAAGCUGUGCAUUCAGCUGCUGGCACUGUGAUUCCUGGCCAACAGCUGAUGCACCACAGCCCCUAAGGGAAGAAGGAAAGGCAGUGGAUCAUUCCCCCACAAGCUCUGGGGGUGCAGCUGUGCCAUGUUGCAGCACUGUGGGUUUGGGGAGUGGGGUAUUUCUGUCUGUUUGCACUGUGUAACUGCUUGUUCUUUGUAGUUGCAGGUUGAUAGCACCUGGAAGGCAAAAAAAAAAAAAACAAACAAAAACAAACCAAAUCAACACAAAAGUCCUGAGGUGGUAAUGCAUGCAUGUUCAUGUCUUCAUGUAGAGCGUUCGUCGCUGCCUUAUGUCAUGAUUUACAAAUAAUAAUAAUAAUAACAAUAAUAAUAACCAAAA